CAGUAGCCGCGGGAAUACGUAGGGUGCGAGCGUUAAUCGGAAUUACUGGGCGUAAAGCGUGCGCAGGCGGUUGUGUAAGACAGGUGUGAAAUCCCCGGGCUUAACCUGGGAACUGCGCUUGUGACUGCACAGCUAGAGUAUGGCAGAGGGGGGUGGAAUUCCACGUGUAGCAGUGAAAUGCGUAGAGAUGUGGAGGAACACCGAUGGCGAAGGCAGCCCCCUGGGCCAAUACUGACGCUCAUGCACGAAUGCGUGGGGAGCAAACAGGAUUAGAGACCCGAGUAGUCCCUGUCUCUUAUAC
rnacentral:rRNA from 1 species